AGGUUAAAAUCUCUGGAACCAUGCUGAAGGUAGCACUUGUUCUUGGAUGCCUCCUGAGCCUCAUUGUGGCUGAACCUAUGGAGCACCAGCGCUUUGCCCGCUCUGAUUCUAACUCUAAUUCUAACUCAGCUGAGUCAACCACCACAACUACGACCACAGCAGCAGGAGCAACGGCUGCACCGUCACUGGCCCAGAUCCUUGCCCUUAUUCAACAACUGCUCGCUGGUUUAUGAUCAAAUUCCCAGCCUGCUGUUUUAACCAGAAUGCUUUCAUUCACUCACCAAUUGGAGACAUAUUAUCCUGACCCUCUGUCAACUUAAAAAUGAAA